CUCGAAGUCGGUUUGCUCGGCAGUGGUUGUUCUCUGCCCGUCUCGCCCCCAGACCUUUUCUUUUGCUACAUCUUCACUUUCUCAGCUUUUUUCCCAUUUGCUUGCCCUGACUUACAAGCACGUCAAUGGCUAGGCGGAGAGGGAGUCAGUGGCUCCCCAUCAUGCACAUCUCCGUCUUGUUGAUUUGAUGGGGGAGAUGGUGGAGACGCGAUUCGGUGGCAGGGAAGAGAUCGAGGUGACGGAUGGCCGGAUCCAAGGUCGGAGCCCCAUGGCUUCUUCUCCUCCGUCUCUAGGGUUCGAUCUUCAAUGCCCAGCAUCUCUCCAUCCAUGUCUCAACAAAAAAAAGGUCAUAAACAUUGGAGAUGAUGGCAAGAUAGCGUGACGGAUGAUGUUUUUGCGCAGGCAAGGGGCAAUCUUUUCUUCAGAUUUCUUAUUACCAGUAGAAUAUUGCAACUCGAGCCAAAUAAGUGGCCAGUCUAUUGAGAUGAACAUGAAAUAUACGGAUGCAUGGAUGAUGUGGAAAUAGGUUAUAUUUUCAAGGCACGUUCUGCGCUUCCACUUUAUAGUGCCAGAGGGGAUAAUUGCAUGUUCACUGUCACAUCAAUCCUAUCGAUAGCAAUGAUGCUUGUUGGGGUUCUUCUUGUCCUCUCUCCUGAUAGCUUAAAAACUGACAUAACCUGCUUGUUAUCUACGGGCUGGAAAUAACAUCAGCAACAAUGGAGUUCCUGAUCCGUCAUGCAAGAUUUGAUUCAUCUGCAUGAAGCAGUUAAUCUGCACCAGGGAAAUGGAAGUAGAAAAUGCACCUUCAGCUGUUACAUUGGCCAUGAAGUUAUGUGUCUGUCAUUUCACAAGGAAAGUGUGAGUGUCCUCCAGUAUGCUCUAUUUUAGUGUGUCCUUGUUAAAACCAAAGAAAAUAUAAUUAUUUGAGACAAAUGGAUGUAGUAUUUUACUGAAGAUUUUUUUCCUGUUGCAUUUGAUGCUCUGUAAUUUUUGAAGUGGCUAAUACGCAUAUUGAUUGAUAAAUCAUUAAGACAUAUAGCAUUGUUCGAUUUUCCAUGUCAAAAUAUUAGUUAUUCUCUUCUCAUAAAUAUUGUACGUUGUUGUGCUUGGGUUAGCUAUGUACUCAUCGGAUCUUGGAGAAUUUAUUAUGAAGAGUAUUCUUGAGUUGACAUAUUGAAUAAACCUCCUUAGGUUGACUUACUGAUUAAACUCAUGCAUACAAAUUCUCUUUUUCAACCAUCCUUUCAAAAAGUGCUAACAACCUUUGACGAUCGGCUCAUACAGAUAUGACACAAACAUUUGGUCAAUAUUAGUUAACCUUCUAUUUCAGUGGUAACCAUUUCAUUCAGUACACCUUUAGAUUUUGGUACUAAACUCCAUGCAACAUUUGGUUCAUAUUAAUUAACCUUCAGUCGUUGAGUACACCUAUAGAUUUUGGUACUAAUUAAACUCCAUGCCACUAUAACUUCAGACGUUGUACUAUAAUAAAUAUUUGAUCCAAGCAAAGCACACGAGUGACUCAUAAUGCUUGCAUGUGUAUACGUAUAUUAGUUACUGCACCGUUUUGUACAAACUACAGAGCUCUAUUUUCUUGUUUCUGAUGUAUUCAGAGCUUCACCUAAUUUCGAAAAUUCCACCUUCCUGCUUAGCUGCAGUUAAGAGAUGGUACUUUUGUAUCCCUCAACUUUUCAAAUGCACCAGAUAAAUAUAUGGCGACUUCUGUCAUAUUCUUGGAGCUUGUUAUGUCAAUGCGAGGAUGCCUCAGGUUCCCCAGGUUUUGAAACUUCAGGUGAACCACACUACAACUAGCAGGUUCCCCAUGUUUUGAAACUUCAGGUGAACCACACUGCAACUAGACGUUUCCUCUUUUCCUUGAUGAAGAAUUCUCAUUUACAUGUCAUAAAUUCCACCAGGGAGAAGGAAAUUAAUAAUCCCUAUAUUGUACAAAGUGACAUUGCUUAUCUGUAAACUCUUUCGUAGCAGCAGGCAUUUUUUCCUUGAUAUUUGCUACCCAGCUACAAAGAAUAUGGAUCAAAAGGUAAGACCUUUUGUAAAUGGGUGUGACUAAAAUUUGUCAUGCCAUAUGAUGGGUGCAUCUCCAUCGCA